UACGGGGGGGCAAGCGUUGUCCGGAUUUAUUGGGCGUAAAGAGCUCGUAGGCGGCUUGUUGCGUCGACUGUGAAAACCCGCGGCUUAACCCCGGACCUGCAUCCGAUACUGCGUGACUAGAGGUAGGUAGGGGAGAUCGGAAUUCCUGGUGUAGCGGUGGAAAUGCGCAGAUAUCAGGAGGAACACCGGUGGCGAAGGCGGAUCUCUGGGCCUUACCUGACGCUGAGGCUCGAAGGCCAGGGUAGCGAAAGGG
rnacentral:rRNA from 1 species